rnacentral:tRNA from 1 species
GGGAAUAUGGCUCACUGGUAGAGUGCUUGCCUGGCAUGCAUGAAGCCAUUGGUUCAAUUCCUUAGUGCCA